rnacentral:rRNA from 1 species
AUUGAACGCUGGCGGCAGGCUUAACACAUGCAAGUCGAACGAGUGGCGGACGGGUGAGUAAUGCAUGGGCAGCUAGCUCUUGCAGGGGGACAACUACGGGAAACCGUAGCUAAUACCGCGUACCAUAGGAUGAGCCCAAGUGGGCGUAGGUAGUUGGUGAGUUAAAGGCUAACCAAGGCGACGAUCGCUAGCUGGUCUGAGUGGAUGACAGGCCAGACGGGAACUGAGACACGCCCCAGACUCUUACGGGAGGACGGAGUGGGGAACAUUCCGCAUUGGUGGCAGCCGAACGCAGACAAGCCGCGUGAUAGAAGAAGGCCUUCGCGUUGUAAGAUUCUUGCGGCAGCGAGGCGUUACCGACAGAGGAAGCAGCUUCUAACUCCGUGCCAGCAGCCGCGGUAAUUC